rnacentral:lncRNA from 1 species
CAAAAAAUUCAACAGGCCACGUCUUUCACUUGUUUAAGCUUAAAUUUCCUGUGGUUAUUUCUUGAGUGCUCCUUAGUAAAAGAAAAAUAUAAAAAAAAAUAAAAAGAAUUGCAGGGUUUCGAAUUGUGUUGUUCGCAAGCUGGAUUGAUAUGUCUCUCGUUUCCACCAAAUCGAUAGUUACCAGAAAGUUUCGGAAGAUCGGGCCACACUUGUUCUCCUGAAGUGGUAUUCGAAGCUUCAGACAUAUCGUUAGGUUCACAUCUACCCUUAGUUUCAAGUGUCCUUGUGUUCGUCGCAUAAGUCUAGUGCCAUAUUGUUUUCAUGUCCUACAACCCAUCCGCGCCAUAGCCUUUGCAUAUUUCAGUUUCAGAGUCCGUAGUGUUGAGUUUGUGUCCUGGUCAAGGUCUUGUUACUGGUUAGGUCUUGUUACAGUCCAGUUUGUCUAUUUUUUCCCACUAUUUCCAUCUAUUUCUAGCCACCAUCGCAAAUUUUUCCCACUUCCGGACUGUUUUGCCCUCUAAUUCGGAGUCCGUUCGUAAAACAGCCAUAACUUUCGCAUACGAACUCCAAUUUUGACGUUCCAUAUAUCAAAAUCGAUCAGAAUAAUUUUUUGGAUCUGUCUAUCCUCCCAACGGCGGGUUCGACAAUUAUAGGAUCCCCAAAUUCGCCUCUGAAGUUUGAGUUUUCACCUCCUAAAGUUUUUUCACAUAUUUCACACAAUCUUCAUAAUAUUCCACGGGCCAUGUAAUACACUUGUAUACUCUCAAAUCCCCUGUGGAUACUUCUAGAGUUCUCCUAAGUAAGACAAAUAUAUCAAACAAAAGAAUUGUAGGGUUUCGAAUUGUGUUGUUCGCAAACUGGAUUGAUAUGUCUCUCGUUUCCACCAAAUCGAUAGUUACCAGAAACUUUCGGAAGAUCGGGCCACACUUGUUCUUCUCAAGUGGUAAUCAAUGCUUCAGACAUGCCGUUAGGUUCACAUCUACCCUUAGUUUCAAGUGUCCUUGUGUUCGUCGCAUAAGUCUAGUGCCAUAUUGUUUUCAUGUCCUACAACCCAUCCGCGCCAUAGCCUUUGUAUAUUUCAGUUUCAGAGUCCGUAGUGUUGAGUUUGUGUCCUGGUCGAGGUCUUGUUACUGGUUAGGUCUUGUUACAGUCGAGUUUGUCUGUUUUUUCCCACUAUAUCCAUCAAUUUCUAGCCACCAUCGCAAAUUUUUCCCACUUCCGGACCGUUUUGUCCUCUAAUUCGGAGUCGGUUCGUAAAACAGCCAUAACUUUCGCAUACGAACUCCAAUUUUGACGUUCCAUAUAUCAAAAUCGAUUAGAAAAUUUUUUUGGAUCUGUCUAUCCCGCCAACGGCGGGUUCGACAAUUUUAGAAUCCCCAAAUUCGCCUCUGAAGUUUGAGUUUUCACCUCCUAAAUUUUUUUCAUAUUUUUCACAAUCUUCAAAAAAUUCAACAGGCCACGUCUUUCACUUGUUUAAGCUCAAAUUUCCUGUGGUUACUUCUAGAGUGCUCCUUAGUAAAAGAAAAAUAUCCAUAUCAAUAAAAAGAAUUGCAGGGUUUCGAAUUGUGUUGUUCGCAAGCUGGAUUGAUAUGUCUCUCGUUUCCACCAAAUCGAUAGUUACUAGAAAGUUUCGGAAGAUCGGGCCACACUUGUUCUCCUCAAGUGGUAAUCAAUGCUUUAGACAUGCCGUUAGGUUCACAUCUACCCUUAGUUUCAAGUGUCCUUGUGUUCGUCGCAUAAGUCUAGUGCCAUAUUGUUUUCAUGUCCUACAACCCAUCCGCGCCAUAGCCUUUGCAUAUUUCAGUUUCAGAGUCCGUAAUGUUGAGUUUGUGUCCUGGUCGAGGUCUUGUUACUGGUUAGGUCUUGUUACAGUCCAGUUUGUCUGUUUUUUCCCACUAUUUUCAUCAAUUUCUAGCCACCAUCGCAAAUUUUUCCCACUUCCAGACCGUUUUGUCCUCUAAUUCGGAGUCCGUUCGUAAAACAGCCAUAACUUUCGCAUACGAACUCCAAUUUUGACGUUCCAUAUAUCAAAAUCGAUUAGAAAAUUUUUUUGGAUCUGUCUAUCCCGCCAACGGCGGGUUCGACAAUUUUAGAAUCCCCAAAUUCGCCUCUGAAGUUUGAGUUUUCACCUCCUAAAUUUUUUUCAUAUUUUUCACAAUCUUCAAAAAAUUCAACAGGCC